rnacentral:ncRNA from 1 species
GGAGAGGCUUCCCUGUCCGUUAUCCUUGGGGGCACUCGGUCUUCCUGUGGGACCCUCUUUUCUCGGAGAGUCCUUAGACGCCAGUCGUCGAGAGGAUGGCGUGAGGGCGGGUUAGAUGCCC